AAUGAACGCUGGCGGCGUGCCUAACACAUGCAAGUCGAGCGAUUCUCUUCGGAGAAGAGCGGCGGACGGGUGAGUAACGCGUGGGUAACCUGCCCUGUACACACGGAUAACAUACCGAAAGGUAUGCUAAUACGAGAUAAUAUGCUUUUAUCGCAUGGUAGAAGUAUCAAAGCUCCGGCGGUACAGGAUGGACCCGCGUCCGAUUAGCGAGUUGGUAAGGUAACGGCUUACCAAGGCGACGAUCAGUAGCCGAACUGAGAGGGUGAUCGGCCACAUUGGAACUGAGACACGCUCCAAACUCCUACGGGAGGCAGCAGUGGGGAAUAUUGCACAAUGGGCGAAAGCCUGAUGCAGCAACGCCGCGUGAGCGAUGAAGGCCUUCGGGUCGUAAAGCUCUGUCCUCACGGAAGAUAAUGACGGUACUUGAGGAGGAAGCCCCGGCUAACUACGUGCCAGCCGCCGCGGUAAUAC
rnacentral:rRNA from 1 species